UAGGGAAUCUUCCGCAAUGGACGAAAGUCUGACGGAGCAACGCCGCGUGAGUGAAGAAGGAUUUCGGUUCGUAAAACUCUGUUGUUAGGGAAGAAAAAAUGUAUAGUAACUAUAUACAAAAGAGACGGUACCUAACCAGAAAGCCACGGCUAACUACGUGCCAGCAGCCGCGGUAAUACGUAGGUGGCAAGCGUUGUCCGGAAUUAUUGGGCGUAAAGCGCGCGCAGGUGGUUUAGAAAGUCUGAUGUGAAAGCCCACGGCUCAACCGGGGAGUGUCAAUGGAAACUAAUAAACUUGAGUGCAGGAGAGAAAAGUGGGAUUCCUAGUGUAGCGAUGAAAUGCGUAGAGAUAAGGAGGAACACCGGUGGCGAAAGCGGCUUUUUAGCCUGCAAAUGACACUGAGGCGCGAAAGCGUGGGGAGCAAACAGG
rnacentral:rRNA from 1 species